rnacentral:lncRNA from 1 species
UUGUGAUCAUGGUAUCUCCCCUGUCAGGAUUCCUGUGAGCAGUGUGUUAGAUGCUGGGCUGGUCACUGGGGCCACGGAGAUUAAAAAAAAAAAUCCUCUAUAAAACCCAGGACUUGCCCCCAAGGGAGACUGGCACCUAAAUAAGUAACCGAGGUACACGAUGCAAAGUGCAAUAAUAGACGGACAUCUGCGAUUCGGAGGCAGCACGAAGUGGGAGAAAGAGGGGCGGAAUUAGAAGCCAGGGAUUUGGCUUAAAGGUGGCCCGAGGUGUGCAGCUGCCUGCAAAUGCCAUCCUUCAUGUGAGCUGAGGCACAGGAAGAGGCUGAGAAGUCCGGUCUAGAGGGAUGUUGGGUAAAUGGUCCCAGGUUGAAAAAUAUUAGAUGCUGAAGGAAUGUCAGAUGGUCUCGAAAUUGUGAGGUUUGCCUCUGAGUCCCAGGCAGGAUGUGGGCUGGGAUAGCUGAGGCAGGCCGAACCUAGGCUCAGGAAGAUGGUGAGAGAUUGUAAAAAUAAACAGGUUUAUUGUAGAAAUUUUAGGGGUGGGGUUAGGAGGUCAUUAGGAGGUCCAGGGUCAGGGUCAGUGGGCUUCAGGACCUGGCAAAGCCAGAGGGCAUGAGAGCCAGCCUUGCCUACCCACUCCGGGCUGGGCCCACAGCUGCCACGACCCUUUGUCCCCAAGGGUGACAGGAGAGCUUGCACCAGCCCAGAUGCUUCCUUCUCCAAAGACAUGGACGGAGGGUCUCAGGCUUAUACCAGCCAGGAUUAUUCCAGUGGGAUUCCAGCUCUCCUCCUAGCCAUGUCCUUCCCGCAAAAGUUUGAAGCGGGUCUGGCUGGGUGAGGUAACUCCUUGACAAACUGGACUCAUUUUUGGCUGAUGACCUGUGUGGUCCCUGAAGCUCUGUCCUCACCCAAGAUUGGCCCAGAGGGGAGUGGAGGUGGAAGGGGAAGGCCAGGCAUGGCUGCGGCACUCCAUUUGCCCCCAGCAGCCUGGCGGUCUUCACUUGUGCUCACCCCACAGGCAUUGUGGACACAGGUGUGUCACCAAAGGGCCAUGAGGCUCCUGUGUCACGUGGGACACCCCUGCCUUGCCAAUCUUUAAUUUAUUAUUAUUAUUAUUUUUCCGAGAAGGAAUUUUGCUCUUGUCGCCCAGGCUGGAGUGCAGUGGCGUAAUCUCGGCACUGCAACCUCCGCCUCCCAGGUUCAAGUGAUUCUCCUGUCUCAGCCUCCUGAGUAGCGGGAUUACAGGUGCCCACCACCACGCCUGGCUAAUUUUUGUAUUUUUAGUAGAGACGGGUUUCACCAUGUUGGCCAGGCUGGUCUCGAACUCCUGACCUCAGGUGAUCCAUCUGCCUCGGCCUCCCAAAGUGCUGGGAUUACAGGAGUGAGCCACUGCACCCGGCCAUUAAUUUUUUUCCCAGGCAGUCUCCCUCUGGGCAGGUGAGUCCCAGGUGGCAGUGUCCGGCAGCCAUCCUCGGACUUCUUCCCCGCAGCAUGGCCAAGGGCAAGGGAGAGGGAAGGGACGCAGGCCAGGGCAUGACAUACAGUGGCCCAACGUAGGAAAAACAUUUUUUUUUGACCUCUCAUUCAUUUUCUUAAAAGUUCACAUGCCUUUCACCUUCUUUUUAGUGCCUCCUGGCAAGUUUUAUCAUUAAAAACAAUCUUUUUUAAUGACUUGCAUUUCCAUUUAAAGCGAUUUGUGUGACUGGUUUAUUUGCUUAGUCUUAAGGUGAUGUCACUGCAACAGGCACCAUGGAUUUAAGGAUAUAUAAAUCCUUACGUAUCCUUUUUUCUUUUUUUGAGAAGCAAAAAACAUGAUCUCAUUAGAUGUUAAAAUGUUAAAAUUAGAUAUUAAAUGUUAAAAUAUGGGGAAAAUGCAGAUCUUAGAACGAGGGAAAUUCUUGUUGGUAAUUUUCAUCCUCCCAAAAAACUUCAGAAUAAAAUUGGUUCUCCCUGAAGAUGUGUGACAUUUGUACUUGGCUUCAUGUCCUUAUCCUGCAGUGUUGGGGGGCACAGGG